rnacentral:rRNA from 1 species
AUUGAACGCUGGCGGCAGGCCUAACACAUGCAAGUCGAACGGUAACAGGAAGCAGCUUGCUGCUUCGCUGACGAGUGGCGGACGGGUGAGUAAUGUCUGGGAAACUGCCUGAUGGAGGGGGAUAACUACUGGAAACGGUAGCUAAUACCGCAUAACGUCGCAAGACCAAAGAGGGGGACCUUCGGGCCUCUUGCCAUCGGAUGUGCCCAGAUGGGAUUAGCUAGUAGGUGGGGUAACGGCUCACCAAGGCGACGAUCCCUAGCUGGUCUGAGAGGAUGACCAGCCACACUGGAACUGAGACACGGUCCAGACUCCUACGGGAGGCAGCAGUGGGGAAUAUUGCACAAUGGGCGCAAGCCUGAUGCAGCCAUGCCGCGUGUAUGAAGAAGGCCUUCGGGUUGUAAAGUACUUUCAGCGGGGAGGAAGGGAGUAAAGUUAAUACCUUUGCUCAUUGACGUUACCCGCAGAAGAAGCACCGGCUAACUCCGUGCCAGCAGCCGCGGUAAUACGGAGGGUGCAAGCGUUAAUCGGAAUUACUGGGCGUAAAGCGCACGCAGGCGGUUUGUUAAGUCAGAUGUGAAAUCCCCGGGCUCAACCUGGGAACUGCAUCUGAUACUGGCAAGCUUGAGUCUCGUAGAGGGGGGUAGAAUUCCAGGUGUAGCGGUGAAAUGCGUAGAGAUCUGGAGGAAUACCGGUGGCGAAGGCGGCCCCCUGGACG